UGCAGUCGAGCGGUAGAGAGAGCUUGCUUCUCUUGAGAGCGGCGGACGGGUGAGUAAUGCCUAGGAAUCUGCCUGGUAGUGGGGGAUAACGUUCGGAAACGGACGCUAAUACCGCAUACGUCCUACGGGAGAAAGCAGGGGACCUUCGGGCCUUGCGCUAUCAGAUGAGCCUAGGUCGGAUUAGCUAGUUGGUGAGGUAAUGGCUCACCAAGGCGACGAUCCGUAACUGGUCUGAGAGGAUGAUCAGUCACACUGGAACUGAGACACGGUCCAGACUCCUACGGGAGGCAGCAGUGGGGAAUAUUGGACAAUGGGCGAAAGCCUGAUCCAGCCAUGCCGCGUGUGUGAAGAAGGUCUUCGGAUUGUAAAGCACUUUAAGUUGGGAGGAAGGGUUGUAGAUUAAUACUCUGCAAUUUUGACGUUACCGACAGAAUAAGCACCGGCUAACUCUGUGCCAGCAGCCGCGGUAAUACGGAGGGUGCAAGCGUUAAUCGGAAUUACUGGGCGUAAAGCGCGCGUAGGUGGUUUGUUAAGUUGGAUGUGAAAUCCCCGGGCUCAACCUGGGAACUGCAUUCAAAACUGACUGACUAGAGUAUGGUAGAGGGUGGGUGGAAUUUCCUGUGUA
rnacentral:rRNA from 1 species